AUUGAACGCUGGCGGCAGGCCUAACACAUGCAAGUCGAACGAGGGGCGGACGGGUGAGUAAUGUCUGGGAAACUGCCUGAUGGAGGGGGCUAAAUACUGGAAAACGUAGCUAAUACUGCAUAACAUCAGAUGUGCCCAGAGGGGAUUAGCUAGUUGGGGGGGUAACGGCUCACCAAGGCGACCAUCCCUAGCUGGUCUGCGAGGAUGACCAGCCACACUGGAACUGAGACACGGUCCAGACUCCUACGGGAGGCAGCAGUGGGGAAUAUUGCACAAUGGGCGCAAGCCUGAUGCAGCCAUGCCGCGUGUAUGAAGAAGGCCUUCGGGUUGUAAAGUACUUUCAGCGGGGAGGCGUUACCCGCACAAGAAGCUCCGGCUAACUCCGUGCCAGCAGCCGCGGUAAUAC
rnacentral:rRNA from 1 species